rnacentral:lncRNA from 1 species
ACUAACUAUUUUAAUUAAGUAUGGAACUUCAGAAAAUUAUUUGGCCAUUCUUCACUCUAAAUCUGCUUUUUACUUCAACGUAAAACUUUUAGCUUUUCUUCUUAGCUUUCCAACGCAUAUUAGAACGCGGCAAUCCGAGGCAUAUAGCCCAAGUUAUAAUCUAAAUAGUGACAAGGUAUCAAAUAACUACUUAUGUUGAAAAUAAAGUACGAAAAUA